UACAGAGGUCCCAAGCGUUGUUCGGAUUCACUGGGCGUAAAGGGUGCGUAGGUGGUGAGGUAAGUCUGAUGUGAAAUCCCGCAGCUUAACUCCGAAACUGCAUUCGAUACUGCCGUGCUUGAGGACUGGAGAGGAGACUGGAAUUUACGGUGUAGCGGUGAAAUGCGUAGAUAUCGUAAGGAAGACCAGUGGCGAAGGCGGGUCUCUGGACAGUUCCUGACGCUGAGGCACGAAGGUCAGGGGAGCAAACGGG
rnacentral:rRNA from 1 species